UUUGGAUUUAGAGAGAUAAUGUAUUAAAAAUAGUUCCUCUUUCAGUGCCCUUGCUUCUUGCAGUAGAAAUAUUUCAUCUAACUCUAGUCAGACUUGGGUUUCUUGGUCUGAUCGGGCUUGGGCACCCCAACACUUUGCACCUUUUUUUUAUUCUUCUUAUUCUUCUUUUCUUUCUUAAAGGGUCGACAUUUAGAAGAAGAC
rnacentral:lncRNA from 1 species